rnacentral:rRNA from 1 species
UACAGAGGGUGCAAGCGUUGUUCGGAAUUAUUGGGCGUAAAGCGCGUGUAGGCGGCUUUGUGUGUCGGGUGUGAAAGCCCUCGCUUAACCGAGGAAGUGCGCCCGAAACUGCAGAGCUUGAGUGCCGGAGAGGAUAGCGGAACACCCGGUGUAGCGGUGAAAUGCGUAGAUAUCGGGUAGAACACCAGUGGCGAAGGCGGCUAUCUGGACGGGGCACUGACGCUGAGACGCGAAA